AAGAAGACGAAGUCGGAGAAGACGAAAUCUGAUAAGGCAAAGAGAAAUGAUGUGGAAGCAGCAAGGAUCGAAGCUUAAGUGCAAGCUAUAAUGGCGAUUGAUACCAUGUUAAGCUAUAUCAGAUUAUCAUUCAUACAUUAUAAUCUUGUAUAUUGAAAGGAAUAACAAGAAGGAUUUUUAGAGAGAGAAAGAUAUAGAGAGAGAGAGAAAGAGAAAUGAUCUUUUUAUAUUUCUUCACACUUAAGUAAUUACAUCAGUUUUGGUUUAUAUACUAGUUAGAGAAAUAUCUAACUAAACUAACUAACUCCUUCAAUAGGAUUAUGACAAGUGUCUCAAUCUUACAUCCUACAAAGGCUAAAUAGCGAAAAUGGUCCCUGAGAUUUGUAUUAUA
rnacentral:lncRNA from 1 species